GUUUUAAUAAUUUAAAAAAAAUAUUAGUCUUGUAAACUAAAACUAGGUAACUCUUUAAAACU
rnacentral:tRNA from 1 species